rnacentral:rRNA from 1 species
GACGAACGCUGGCGGCGUGCCUAAUACAUGCAAGUCGAGCGGACGAUUCGAAAGCUUGCUUUUGAAUCGUUAGCGGCGGACGGGUGAGUAACACGUGGGCAACCUGCCCUGUAGACGGGGAUAACACCGAGAAAUCGGUGCUAAUACCGGAUAACACGAAAUGUCGCAUGACGUUUCGUUGAAAGGCGGCGCAAGCUGCCGCUACAGGAUGGGCCCGCGGCGCAUUAGCUAGUUGGUGAGGUAACGGCUCACCAAGGCGACGAUGCGUAGCCGACCUGAGAGGGUGAUCGGCCACACUGGGACUGAGACACGGCCCAGACUCCUACGGGAGGCAGCAGUAGGGAAUCUUCCGCAAUGGACGAAAGUCUGACGGAGCAACGCCGCGUGAGCGAAGAAGGCCUUCGGGUCGUAAAGCUCUGUUGUUAGGGAAGAACAAGUAACGUAGUAACUGACGUUACUAUGACGGAACCUAACGAGAAAGCCACGGCUAACUACGUG